UACGGGGGGGGUAAGCGUUGUUCGGAAUUAUUGGGCGUAAAGAGUUCGUAGGCGGUUUGUCGCGUCGGCCGUGAAAACUUGGGGCUUAACCCCAAGCUUGCGGUCGAUACGGGCAGACUUGAGUUCGGCAGGGGAGACUGGAAUUCCUGGUGUAGCGGUGAAAUGCGCAGAUAUCAGGAGGAACACCGGUGGCGAAGGCGGGUCUCUGGGCCGAUACUGACGCUGAGGAGCGAAAGCGUGGGGAGCGAACAGG
rnacentral:rRNA from 1 species